UACGGGGGGGGCAAACGUUGUUCGGAAUUACUGGGCGUAAAGGGCUCGUAGGCGGCCAACUAAGUCAGACGUGAAAUCCCUCGGCUUAACCGGGGAACUGCGUCUGAUACUGGAUGGCUUGAGGUUGGGAGAGGGAUGCGGAAUUCCAGGUGUAGCGGUGAAAUGCGUAGAUAUCUGGAGGAACACCGGUGGCGAAGGCGGCAUCCUGGACCAAUACUGACGCUGAGGAGCGAAAGCCAGGGGAGCAAACGGG
rnacentral:rRNA from 1 species